rnacentral:lncRNA from 1 species
GUAACUUAUGUACAUUGUGACAUAAAAUAUGAUUUUUAACCUAUGAUUUGUUACCCGUGACUCGUAACAUAAAAUGUAACCUAUAAAUUUGAUUUAUGACUUCUAUAAAACGACAUGUGACCUGUUAAUAUUGAUCUGUGACCCCUUUAUACUGACUAUGAACUUGUGAACUCAAAUCUGUAAACGGCAAAUUGUGACCUAAACGGCGAAUUGUGACCAAUGACAUAUGAGCUUUAACCUUAUGUGUUCAUUACCAAAAUUGUUUUCGGUGUGACUGUUUCUGACCAUGUUAGUUUAAUUUGUAAAUAUAUGUAACCAAGUCAAUUACGGUCACAGUAGACACAAAUCUGGUCACGGGCAAUGACAAUGAAGAUAUGUUUGGUUAGUCACCACCAUUCCUAACAUCGACUACCAAACGUACACCACCUCACCGUAGCCACAUGUAACCAGCAACGGAACCAUUGGAACCUCAAGACCACCACCAACACGACCACCAACAUCAAAGCCUGGGCUACCACCAUCAACUACACACAAAGAACAAAACUCACCCCAAAUUUUUCAGCACCAGAUCAUGAACAAAGUUUCCCAACCAACAAAACCCACACAAGCAGAGGGGUCUCAUUUAAUGCAAGAAUCUGGUCCGAGGCAGCACUAGUGGCUUGCAUAGUGGUGUUGAUAGAGGCAUUGUUUUUUUACUUCCACAAGCUUUCUUGAACGAGGACGGCCCCUGUGCAAGUGGCACUCACAGUAUUUCUGGUUUGGAGCCACUUUUUUCAAGCACCUCCACUUCCUGUCGUCCGUUCUCUUGCACCUUUCGGGCUCGGGAUCUCCAAUUUUUAAAUUUCUCAGGUUAAAUAUGCCUCCGCCAUUCACUGCCCCCAAAUCAUCGAGCAAGAAAAGCCCACAAAUCUAAUCAAGUAUAGAAAACUCAAUGGAAAACACCAAGUAAGCAAAAUAUCCAUCAAAGAUGGGAUGUGAGGCUAAAUAUUCCUGCACCAUUAAUUAUCCCCAGUACCAAAUAAGGAAAGCCCACAAAUCGAAUCACAGAAUUUAAACUCAAAACAAA